AGGUAGUGAAGGAGAGACAAGAAGGUGCAUAUGAGAAGGACCUGUUGCAAAUGAUUCUUGAGAGUGCCAAAACUAGCAACCUGAACCGAGAAGCAACAGAUCAAUUCAUAGUUGAUAAUGCCAAGAACAUAUACUUGGCUGGUUUUGAGACUACAGCAGUUUCUGCCACAUGGUGCCUCAUGCUGCUGGCUGUAAAUCAAGAAUGGCAGGACCGUAUACGAGCAGAGGUUCUUGAAAUCUGUGGAGGUGGAAUGCCAGAUUCUGAUAUGAUUCGCAAGAUGAAACUGCUUAACAUGGUG
rnacentral:misc_RNA from 1 species